AGAGUUUGAUCCUGGCUCAGAACGAACGCUGGCGGCGUGGAUAAGACAUGCAAGUCGAACGGGAUUACUUCUGUAGCAAUACAAAAGUAAUUUAGUGGCGAACGGGUGCGUAACACGUGGGCAAUCUGCCGAGAAGUGGGGGAUAGCUCGCCGAAAGGCGAAUUAAUACCGCAUAUGAUCAGCUAAGACAUCUUAGCGACAUCAAAGCCGGGGCAACCUGGCGCUUUUUGAGGAGCCCGCGGCCUAUCAGCUAGUUGGUGAGGUAAUGGCUCACCAAAGCUAUGACGGGUAGCUGGUCUGAGAGGACGACCAGUCACACUGGAACUGAGACACGGUCCAGACACCUACGGGUGGCAGCAGUCGAGAAUUUUUCUCAAUGGGGGCAACCCUGAAGGAGCGACGCCGCGUGGAGGAUGAAGGCUUUCGGGUUGUAAACUCCUGUCAUUUGAGAACAAGUGUAGCCAAGUAACUACUGGCUACUUGAUAGUAUCAGAAGAGGAAGAGACGGCUAACUCUGUGCCAGCAGCCGCGGUAAUACAGAGGUCUCAAGCGUUGUUCGGAUUCAUUGGGCGUAAAGGGUGCGUAGGUGGCGGGGUAAGUCAGGUGUGAAAUUUCGGAGCUUAACUCCGAAACUGCAUUUGAUACUGCCUUGCUCGAGGACUGGAGAGGAGACUGGAAUUCACGGUGUAGCAGUGAAAUGCGUAGAGAUCGUGAGGAAGACCAGUGGCGAAGGCGGGUCUCUGGACAGUUCCUGACACUGAGGCACGAAGGCCAGGGGAGCAAACGGGAUUAGAUACCCCGGUAGUCCUGGCAGUAAACGGUGCACGUUUGGUGUGGGGGGAUUCGACCCCUUCCGCGCCGGAGCUAACGCGUUAAACGU
rnacentral:rRNA from 1 species